AUCAUGGCUCAGAUUGAACGCUGGCGGCAUGCUUUACACAUGCAAGUCGAACGGUAACAGGUCUUCGGAUGCUGACGAGUGGCGAACGGGUGAGUAAUGUAUCGGAACGUGCCCAGUAGUGGGGGAUAACUACUCGAAAGAGUGGCUAAUACCGCAUGAGAACUGAGGUUGAAAGCGGGGGACCUUCGGGCCUCGCGCUACUGGAGCGGCCGAUAUCAGAUUAGGUAGUUGGUGGGGUAAAGGCCUACCAAGCCGACGAUCUGUAGCUGGUCUGAGAGAACGACCAGCCACACUGGGACUGAGACACGGCCCAGACUCCUACGGGAGGCAGCAGUGGGGAAUUUUGGACAAUGGACGCAAGUCUGAUCCAGCAAUGCCGCGUGCAGGACGAAGGCCUUCGGGUUGUAAACUGCUUUUGUACAGAACGAAAAGGCUCUGGUUAAUACCUGGGGCUCAUGACGGUACUGUAAGAAUAAGCACCGGCUAACUACGUG
rnacentral:rRNA from 1 species